GGGGUUGUGGCUCAGUGGUAGAGCACUUGCCUAGCAUGCAUGAGGCACUGGGUCUGUUCCC
rnacentral:tRNA from 1 species